GACGAACGCUGGCGGCGUGCCUAAUACAUGCAAGUCGAACGCAGUGGGGACGGGUGAGUAACACGUGGGUAACCUCCCAUCAGAGGGGAUAACACUUGGAAACAGGUGCUAAACCGAUACUGAUGGAUGGACCCGCGGGGCAUGAGCUAGUUGGUGAGGUACAGGCUCACCAAGGCCACGAUGCAUCGCGGGCUGGGGAGGGGGAGCGGCCACACUGUGACUGAGACACGGCCCAGACGCCUACGGGAGGCAGCAGUAGGGAAUCUUCGGCAAUGGACGAAAGUCUGACCGAGCAACGCCGCGUGAGUGAAGAAGGUUUUCGGAUCGUAAAACUCUGUUGUUAGAGAAGCGGUAUCUAACCAGAAAGCCACGGCUAACUACGUGCCAGCCGCCGCGGUAAUUC
rnacentral:rRNA from 1 species